UUGAGAGGCAGUCCGUGCUAUGUGGCGGUCAUAGGGAGCGCAUUUGGCAAGCUUGAGCGUUGUGGUGGCAGUACUCUCUAAGUAAUUUCCAUUGCAGUGUUCUUACGAAAGUUGCUAGGCACCCUGCUGGACUACAAGAUCCCGGAUUCCAUCUCCC
rnacentral:pre_miRNA from 1 species